UAAAGGGAGACCUAAUUCCAGUAGGAGACGAAAAAAAAGUAGUCCCUACCAAGAAUCAAUCCCAAAAGGUCGGAGCGAGGCAAAAUUGGCUUUCAAACUAGGUUCUGGGUUCACACAAGACCUGAAUCAGGAACAAGGGCUAUUAGCUCAGGUGGUUAGAGCGCACCCCUGAUAAGGGUGAGGUCCCUGGUUCGAGUCCAGGAUGGCCCACCUGCACAGGUGGAAGAAAGAAAAGAAGCUCCGAAUCAGCACCUUAUCUUACUUAUAUAGUAAGAGAGAAUGCUGGCUCUGAGUACAGAGUCCAGAGGAACCUUGAAAACUGCAUAGAGCUAGGUGAAAAAGCCAAAAAAGAAGACCGCAA
rnacentral:tRNA from 4 species